GGUUGGCCAAGAAGUUCAUUUAGAUUUUCUGUACAAUGUUAUGUAAAAACUGAAUGAAAUUCUUGGUCAAUC
ensembl:miRNA